rnacentral:lncRNA from 1 species
AUUUGAUUUAUGCCCUUCUGAAGAACUGAUAGAAUCAUGUGAAAGCAUCAGUUCUUCACUCUGAUCAAAAUCUGGUCUAGUGACUGUUUCCAAUAUAGUAGUUUCAUUUAUGUCAUGUACUAGUGGAUGUGAAAUGCUAGCAGCAGCAGGAUGCUGUCAUGUACUAGUGUGAUUCUCGAGGACGAAGCUCGAUCAAGGCUUAUACAAAAGAAGAGGAGAAGGAGCGUGCUGAGGAAGGAGGAGAAGGAGGAGAACAAGCAAGACGGAGGGAGAGAAUGGAGUAGGAGAAACUACCUCGGGCGGAGCGCGCGUUGGGGUCGGUCGGUCGACGCCGGAGAGGAGGUAGGCCUUCUGGAACGUGGCCGUUGGCGUCAAGGAAGUCCGAUUCGUGGCUUUCAGCCGCCGGAGAGGAGGGAGAUGGGGGCAGCGCCGGAGACGAAGGCAAGGGCAGCGCCGGAGACGAAGGCAAGGGGUAUCGGGAGUAGCUAGGGCAAGAAUGGGGUCGGGCAAGGGCAGCGCCGGAGACGAAGGCAAGGGGUAUCGGGAGUAGCUAGGGCAAGAAUGGGGUCGGGCGCUGCGUUUUAAGGGGGCCUUGGCGACGCUUAUAAGCGUCGUUUUAGCCUGAAGUCUACGACGACGCGUUUAAGCGUCGUCCAAUGCUUCAAAUUUCCCACGCUCUCCUAGAGCGUCGGGAAAGGUUGGCGCGGGAGCAGGAAAUGCCGACGCUUUCCCUUAGCGUCGGCAUUUAAGCGUCGGCUUUUCACACAUUUACUGUAGUGUUAGCUUGAGGAGGUCCCAAGUUGGCUUGGGGUGUCUCCUUAGUUGACCUCUUCGAAAUUUAUGUUAGGAGGAAUUUUGAGUGAGCUUGGCUUGAGGAGGUCCCAGAUGGAUUCGGGGUGUCUCCUUAGUUGUUCUCUCUAGAGUUCGAGUCUAGAAGAACUUCAAAUGAGCUCGGCUUGAGGAUGUCCUAGACGGAUUUGGGGUGUCUCCUUAGUUCGGAGCCCAGGCAUUCGUGGGGUGUCUUGAGUCAAAAUGCUUGUUAUACUUGUCCAAUCUAAAAGAUAGAGACAUAACGAGAAAAUUUUUAUUAGGAAUAAACUUGAAAUACAAACGAACCUUACUGGUGAUAAAUAUGAAGAUUGUCGAAAUUCUAAGUUCAUGGGAUCAGAGCAUCGUCAAGGUGCUCCAACUUAUAUAUUCUAGGUCGCAUUGAUUCGGCUACUCAGUAUGGGCCUUCCCAGUUUGGGUUUAGCUUUUUGGGCUCUCUUGGUCAAAAUACUUCGAUCUUUCUUAAGACGAGAUCGCUAAGUCAGAAGAUCUUACUCUUGACCUUUGAGUUGUAGUACCUAGCUGCUUUCCACUGGUACUUUGCCAGCCNN